UGGGGAAUAUUGCACAAUGGGCGAAAGCCUGAUGCAGCAACGCCGCGUGAGUGAUGAAGGUCUUCGGAUUGUAAAGCUCUGUCUUUUGGGACGAUAAUGACGGUACCAAAGGAGGAAGCCACGGCUAACUACGUGCCAGCAGCCGCGGUAAUACGUAGGUGGCGAGCGUUGUCCGGAUUUACUGGGCGUAAAGGGUGCGUAGGCGGAUGUUUAAGUGAGAUGUGAAAUACCCGGGCUUAACUUGGGUGCUG
rnacentral:rRNA from 1 species